rnacentral:lncRNA from 1 species
CCUGUACACGUUGGCCCAACUCCUUGGCCCAACGUGUACUAGCCCCAUAUGGCUAAAAAGGCUAAAAACAAUAUUUGAGUCUAGGCAGUAAGUUUCGUCGAGGACUCAAAAUAAAAUCCAAAAUGCAGAAUUGAUUAUAUUAACAACAAAGAAAUUUUGGAAGUAUUAUUAAACAACGCCCCCAACAUGGAUAACAGUGGAAUAGUAUUUUAUCCCAUUAUAAAUUCCAUUCAGAGAAUGGCUCUAUAUGAAACCAAAGCGCUCUAGAAUCUACAACUCAGAGAUUCGACAUUCUU